AUUUCGCAUGUAGGGGUAAAAUCCGUAGAUAUGCGAAGGAACACCAGAGCCGAAGGGGGCUCUCUGGCCAUACACUGACGCUGAGGCGCGAAAGCGUGGGUAGCAAACAGGAUUAGAUACCCUGGUAGUCCACGCCGUAAACGAUGAGUACUAGAUAUUGGGAGUUUGACCCUUUCAGUGUCGCAGCUAACGCAUUAAGUACUCCGCCUGGGAAGUACGGUCGCAAGACUAAGACUCAAAGGAAUUGACGGGGGCCCGCACAAGCGGUGGAUUAUGUGGUUUAAUUCGAAGCAACGCGCAGAACCUUACCUAGGCUUGAAAUCCCGAGAAGAUCGACCAAAAUUGAUUGUGCUCUUCGGAGAACUCGGUGACAGGCGCUGCAUGGCUGUCGUCAGCUCGUGUCGUGAGAUGUUGGGUUAAGUCUCGCAACGAGCGCAACCCCUAUCCUUAGUUGCCAGCAUUAAGUUGGGCACUCUAGGGAGACUGCCUGGGUUAACCAGGAGGAAGGUGGGGAUGACGUCAAGUCCUCAUGGCCCUUAUGUCUAGGGCUACACACGUAAUACAAUGGUGCAUACAAAGGGACGCGACCCUGCGAAGGUGAGCAAAUCUCAAAAAGUGCAUCUCAGUCCGGAUUGGAGUCUGCAACUCGACUCCAUGAAGUUGGAAUCGCUAGUAAUCGUGGAUCAGCACGCCACGGUGAAUACGUUCCCGGGCCUUGUACACACCGCCCGUCACACCAUGGGGAGUUGAUCUUACCUGAAGCCGUGGC
rnacentral:rRNA from 1 species